rnacentral:sRNA from 1 species
UAUUUGCGUUAGGGUUAGCAGUGGAAAUCCUCUUUUGUCUCGUUCUUAAAACGAGACAAAAGAGAUUGAAGCGAAUAGCCCGCCCUUGU